rnacentral:rRNA from 1 species
CGAAAGCCUGACGGAGCAAGACCGCGUGAGGGAGGAAGGCUCUUGGGUUGUAAACCUCUUUUCUCAGGGAAGAAGCUCUGACGGUACCUGAGGAAUCAGCAUCGGCUAACUCCGUGCCAGCAGCCGCGGUAAUACGGGGGAUGCAAGCGUUAUCCGGAAUUAUUGGGCGUAAAGCGUUCGUAGGCGGUUUUAUAAGUCUGCUGUCAAAGUGCGGAGCUUAACUCCGUAAGAGCAGUGGAAACUGUGAGACUUGAGUAUGGUAGGGGUAGAGGGAAUUCCCGGUGUAGCGGUGAAAUGCGUAGAGAUCGGGAAGAACAUCGGUGGCGAAAGCGCUCUACUGGACGGCAACUGACACUCAGGGACGAAAGCUAGGGUAGCG